GGGCGCAUGGUCUAGUGGUUUAAGACGACUCGGUUAGGGUCUGAUGCGGUGUAGACCCAGGUUCGAAUCCUGGUGUGCCUA